CCUUCUCCAGGCUGACUUUCACUAUCUGCCUUCUGAUGCAGGCCUUGGCACUUUAGCCGAUUUCCACAUUUACAAAGUCACAACUACGGCCCGGGUUACGUUCAUUCCCACGGUGCCUCCACUGCCAGGUGGCCUUGGGGACACGCCCCGGGAGCCCGGGACCCAGCCGAGUGGGCCAGCGGGGGCGGGGCGAACGGCCUCCAGGGCGCCACGAGGCGCCGGGGAGGCGGCGUCAGAAGGCGGGGCCGAGCAGGGUGACAGGUGUGUUCCCAGGGGCUCCAAACUGGACCGCAGAGCCGAAGCCUGGUCAGGGGCGGGGACACGGGGCUGUCCCGGAAGAGGGCGAGCCGAACACCUGGAUGGAGAAUCAAGGCCAACGAUCAACGGGACCCAAGCGGGACAGCAAGGGGAUCCGGACGUGGACAUCUUGGGGAGCCGCCAUGUUGGAGACGCCGGCUACGGGCCGCGGCGGUGCCCAAAUGCAAGCGCGUUCUCGCGCCGCCGGCCUCACGGCAGCGCCCCCUAGAGCCCGGCCGGGGGCGAACGAGCAGGCGGCGCCCAGGCCCGCGACCCUCCCGACGCGCGGGCGGCCCGGCCUCGCCUCCCGGCCGGUCCUGAUGAAACCGAGAGGAAGAGGAAAGGGAGGACCUAGAGCGUUUUGACAGGGGCCCCUCCCCAUCCUCCGCCUAUCAGCCAUUCUAAGGGCUACAUAUUUUUUACACAGAGGGAAAAAAACAAGGCUGGAAGAAAAGUAUCAAUUGGGAUGUUUCUGGAAGGUGGAAUUAACAAUUUUUUAUAUUUCUUUAAACUUUCUUGUAUUUUUCAUAUCUUCUACAGCGAAUAGAAAUUGUGGAGUAAAAGAGAAAAUGGUAAACGUG